CAGUUCUGUACAGCAUAUACCAUCAUCAGAAUCCUUUCAAGUCUAUAUAAAUUACAAUUUAUUAGACGUAAUCAAAUAUUCAUUAUAAUGCGCCUAAUUGUAAUGAACGGUUACAAGAUGUGUUGGAGUUUAGGUAUGUGUAACCCUAGGUUGUGCGUAAAAGCAAAUGCUUAGAAGGGCGCUGAAGUUGAAGUCGGAAGUAAAUUUCUUUAGUUUGGUGGGGUUGGGUGAGACUCCAAUUGGUAUGUCAACCACUGUACUGGCCCCGAAUGAUAGAUGAGUAUUGAGCGUUUUGGUGAAAUAAUUGAAAGGGGAAACGGAAUUACUCGAAGAAAAUCUACCCCAUUGCCACUUUGCCCACCACAAAUCUCACAUGACUUAACUUGGGGUCGAACUCGGGCCGCCGCGGUGGGAAACAGGAGACUAACCGCCUGAGAUAUGGAACGGCCUCAACUCGGAAGUAAGAAACAGAAAUAAUGCCACGUCAUAUAAAUGUGUGAUUUAAAUUUCAUAUUUUAUACUUGUAUAGUUCGCUUGCAGACUAAAAUCACGGAGUUUGUUUCUUGAUCAUUACCUAACAAACUCCAUUCGCACCAUAACGACGAGCGAUGUUAUUGCGCAUGUUCUAAGUAACAAUUACCAAAGAUACGGAGUCACAUUCCAAAAAUACAGCAAUAUUCAUUUUCAGAAAAACCUGUGCCGUGCAGCAGACUUUUUGAACUCCCGCCCUGUUGUCAUGGUUUGCGGAAAUUGACGAAUUUUCAUGAACGCUCAAGAAGCUGAAGAACGCGUGUCGCUAGAGGCAGACAGUCAUGUUCGGUCAUGUUGGUACAUGCAAGAGUGGUUGACGUGACCAUUAUUCUAACUAUAAGUGCCUGUUUCGUCGACUCUUAUUGUGCUUAAUACGUUCAUUGUAGUUUAAUAUAAUGUGUGGGCUUUUACAUGUUAUUCAUAUACAAACUGAAAUAAUUGCAGUAUGAACUUCGUAUCAGGGAACAUAGACCAUAGAUUGUUAUGUGCUGUUCAGACAUGUAACCUAAUUCAGCGACAUCUCAGGCAACUGGUAAAGAUUUCCCGCCAGAGGCAAGUCACGUCCAAUCAGGUUUCGAGAUAAGAAAGAACCCCUGCCGUCCCCAUGAUCCUCAUCUGUCUCCGGCAAGACAAGCUGCAGCUAGUAUCCGGUCUUUGUGUUGAAGUGACGUCACGCUGGCUAUAUAUAACGCACUCGGAUUUAUAUGCAAAUACAUAUUUCGGUGUGACCGCGCAACUUAUCCAGUUGUUAACUGCACUGUUAGUAUGAAAUGAAUGAAUCUCUUUCAUAGUGAACUAGAAGUAAAAAUAAUACCUCAAGAUACAGCACUAAAAGUUCUGAAUCACGGGCUUCCAAGUAUAAACCACGGACCUACCGUGACAGUUAUUCACUAGCACUGAAACAAACUCUCGGUCUCGGAUACAUUUAGGGCAGUUAUGUCGCGUUAAUGGAUUCUACUUAUAAUUCGCAAUGCAUAAAACGCUCAUUAAAUGAAUUUCACUGUCGAGUGUCGGGUACUUCUUCGUAUUCCGAAAUUCCCGGGUCCAUCUUCAUUCCGGAGCUGACUGUUCUGACUGGUAUUCCUCAGUCGUUCUAGGCAAUACUUCAAAAGGGGCCACUUGCUAUCGGAUUUUUCCAAGUCACUCACUGUCAUCUCCCGUUAUAUAAAUAUUAACAUUUUAUUAUAUACAAAAUCUUUACACGAAACUCUUUUUGUGAGGAAAUGUGAGACACAUGGCUAGAACUUCGUGAAAAGUAGAAUUUUACUUCAACCCCUAUAAAAUAAAUUUAUUUUCCCUCUUCAACUUUUAAUGCAUAUCCCACAUAAAAUUUAAUUGAAAUCUGCUCAGUAAUUUCAGAGAUGAUUCACGUGGGAGGACGGAUAUACUAACUAAGAGGCAGAACACAGGACCUUCCUAUUAUACGUGCCUUUGAAAAACUCUGUGUAAAUAAUGCAUAAACGCAACAUGCAAUUAAAUAUUGUGAAGAACUUAAACGAUGAAACAUAGAAGAUCAACAGUGAAA